rnacentral:lncRNA from 1 species
AAUAUUCUUUUCACUAUGUUAUAUUCUUUUCUUUUUCAAUUGCUCAUCUUUUCUUUGAUAUUCUCUUUUUUUUCAACUGAGUACUCUUCUUUCGAUGAGUGCUUCCUUCGAAGCAUCGACUACAUUUCGUUUUCUCAAUUUUUUUAUGGUCGUUUUUCUUCUUCUUUUUUUAUCGUACUCACCUUGGUUUUUGAGACUUAUGGGGUUUACCCCAAACUUAGAAUUUAAC